CCGUCUUUCCGGAGUGCAGCUCAGGCUGUGAUUUCAAGCUCGGGGGUGCUUUCUGUAACUCUGAAAAAGGACCUCCAAGCCUUGAACAUCACAAUCUGAGGCAAACCAUCUAGAUUUAAA
rnacentral:pre_miRNA from 1 species